rnacentral:lncRNA from 1 species
GAGAACAAAGGUUUCGACUUUUGGAGAAAUCGGCAGAAAGAAAAGGAAGAAAACCGAAGGGUUUUUAACUUUUAGGGAAGAGGGUUUCUAGCAACAAGGUGAGAAAAAUAUUUUAGCAUUAGCCUCAUACCCUUGCAAUCGACACCUAUUUAUAUCCCUUAUGGCCGAACUCCUCAGGCCCCAAUUCCUAUUUCGGCUCCACUUGCUCCUCACUUCUUAUCUCCU